GCGGCAGUAGCGCAGUUGGUUAAACUUUGUCCAGUUCAGUUUCAGUGCCACAGCGCGUAGGUCUAGCUAUCCUAAGGUCGUGAGUUCGAGUCUCACCUGCCGCA